AGCGAACGCUGGCGGCAGGCUUAACACAUGCAAGUCGAACGGGCAUAGCAAUAUGUCAGUGGCAGACGGGUGAGUAACGCGUGGGAACGUACCUUUUGGUUCGGAACAACACAGGGAAACUUGUGCUAAUACCGGAUAAGCCCUUACGGGGAAAGAUUUAUCGCCGAAAGAUCGGCCCGCGUCUGAUUAGCUAGUUGGUAGGGUAAUGGCCUACCAAGGCGACGAUCAGUAGCUGGUCUGAGAGGAUGAUCAGCCACAUUGGGACUGAGACACGGCCCAAACUCCUACGGGAGGCAGCAGUGGGGAAUAUUGGACAAUGGGCGAAAGGCUGAACGAGCCAUGCCGCGAGAGUGAUGAAGGCCCUAGGGUUGUAAAGCUCUUUUGUGCGGGAAGAUAAUGACGGUACCGGAAGAAUAAGCCCCGGCUAACUUCGUG
rnacentral:rRNA from 1 species